UUGAGGCUGCAGUGAGCUGUGAUCCUGCCACUGCACUCCAGCCUGAGUGACAGAGUGAGACCCUGUCUC
ensembl:miRNA